rnacentral:rRNA from 1 species
AACGAACGCUGGCGGCAGGCUUAACACAUGCAAGUCGAACGCCCCGCAAGGGGAGUGGCAGACGGGUGAGUAACGCGUGGGAAUCUACCUAGUUCUACGGAACAACUGAGGGAAACUUCAGCUAAUACCGUAUACGCCCUACGGGGGAAAGAUUUAUCGGAAUUAGAUGAGCCCGCGUUGGAUUAGCUAGUUGGUGAGGUAAUGGCUCACCAAGGCGACGAUCCAUAGCUGGUCUGAGAGGAUGAUCGGCCACACUGGGACUGAGACACGGCCCAGACUCCUACGGGAGGCAGCAGUGGGGAAUAUUGGACAAUGGGCGCAAGCCUGAUCCGGCCAUGCCGCGUGAGUGAUGAAGGCCUUAGGGUUGUAAAGCUCUUUCAGUAGGGAAGAUAAUGACGGUACCUACAGAAGAAGCCCCGGCUAACUUCGUGCCAGCCGCCGCGGUAA